AAGGGAACUCACUAUUAUUUCCUUUGUUUUCACAGUUAUCAGAUGUGGAAAUGCAAAGAUUGCAGCCUGUCAUUUUCAGAACGAUCUGAGCUACUAAAGCAUUAUCGUAUUGACCACCAGUUUCACGACAUCCACACCGAAGCUCUCUUCAUUCAAGUGCUAUGCUUGUAACGACAAUCAGCUUUCCACGGAACUUAUCCAGGACUCAUCGUGGCAAAUCCCAUACGACUCCUUAUCUUGCUCCGUGACGACAGCUCUGAGAGGAUGGAUCUGCCCCUGGUGCCAGACACUGUUGAGG